rnacentral:lncRNA from 1 species
AAUCCAUAAAACAAGCUUAGAGCAUAUCCUAAUGAACCUAAAUAGUCCACUCUAAAUACUUAUUAGUCUGGGGAUAGAUGGUCGUACUAUGCUCCACCUUAUUACCUAACUCUUCCUGGAAAAGCUUUUCAAAAUCUAUAGAUGAACACUGAAGCUUGGUCAGAAAUUACAUAUAUAUAGGCUCACAAUGCAAGCGAACUAUCUUAG